rnacentral:rRNA from 1 species
UACGGAGGGGGCUAGCGUUGUUCGGAAUUACUGGGCGUAAAGAGCGCGUAGGCGGUUUAUCAAGUUGGAAGUGAAAGCCCGAGGCUUAACUUCGGAAUUGCUUUCAAGACUGGUUGACUAGAGAGUGGUAGAGGAUGGUGGAAUUCCUAGUGUAGAGGUGAAAUUCGUAGAUAUUAGGAGGAACACCGGUGGCGAAGGCGGCCAUCUGGGCCAUUUCUGACGCUGAGGCGCGAAAGCGUGGGGAGCAAACAGG